AUGCUCGCUUUGGCAGCACAUUUACUAAAAUUGGAAUGAUACAGAGAAGAUUAGCAUGGCCCCUGCACAAGGAUGACAUGCAAAUUUGUGAAGCAUUCCAUAUUUUU
rnacentral:snRNA from 1 species